CGUUAGCGGCGGACGGGUGAGUAACACGUGGGUAACCUACCUAUAAGACUGGGAUAACUUCGGGAAACCGGAGCUAAUACUGGAUAAUAUUUCGAACCGCAUGGUUCGAUAGUGAAAGAUGGUUUUGCUAUCACUUAUAGAUGGACCCGCGCCGUAUUAGCUAGUUGGUAAGGUAACGGCUUACCAAGGCGACGAUACGUAGCCGACCUGAGAGGGUGAUCGGCCACACUGGAACUGAGACACGGUCCAGACUCCUACGGGAGGCAGCAGCG
rnacentral:rRNA from 1 species